rnacentral:rRNA from 1 species
AUUGAACGCUGGCGGAAUGCUUUACACAUGCAAGUCGAGCGGCAGCGCGGGGCAACCUGGCGGCGAGCGGCGAACGGGUGAGUAAUACAUCGGAACGUGCCCAGACGUGGGGGAUAACUACUCGAAAGAGUGGCUAAUACCGCAUACGAUCUACGGAUGAAAGCGGGGGAUCGCAAGACCUCGCGCGUCUGGAGCGGCUGAUGGCAGAUUAGGUAGUUGGUGGGAGUAAAAGACCUACCAAGCCAACGAUCUGUAGCUGGUCUGAGAGGAUGAUCAGCCACACUGGGACUGAGACACGGCCCAGACUCCUACGGGAGGCAGCAGUGGGGAAUUUUGGACAAUGGGCGAAAGCCUGAUCCAGCCAUUCCGCGUGCAGGAUGAAGGCCCUCGGGUUGUAAACUGCUUUUGUACAGAACGAAAAGCUCUGGCUAAUACCUGGAGUCCAUGACGGUACUGUAAGAAUAAACACCGGCUAACUACGUGCC